AUUGAACGCUGGCGGCAGGCUUAACACAUGCAAGUCGAGCGAGCGGCGGACGGGUGAGUAAUGUCUGGGAAACUGCCUGAUGGAGGGGGAUAACUACUGGAAACGGUAGCUAAUACCGCAUACCAUCAGAUGUGCCCAGAUGGGAUUAGCUAGUAGGUGGGGUAAUGGCACACCUAGGCGACGAUCCCUAGCUGGUCUGAGAGGAUGACCAGCCACGCUGGAACUGAGCCACGGUCCAGACUCCUACGCGAGGAAGCAGUGGGGAAUAUUGCCCAAUGGGCGCAGGCCUGAUGCAGCCAUGCCGCGGGUGUGAAGAAGGCCUUCGGGUUGUAAAGCACUUUCAGCGAGGAGGCGUUACUCGCAGAAGAAGCACCGGCUAACGCCGUGCCAGCAGCCGCGGUAAUAC
rnacentral:rRNA from 1 species